rnacentral:rRNA from 1 species
UAGCAAUCAAUAAGCGGAGGAAAAGAAACCAACAGGGAUUGCCUCAGUAACGGCGAGUGAAGCGGCAACAGCUCAAAUUUGACAUCUGGCUCUUCUGGAGUCCGAGUUGUAAUUUGCAGAGGGUGCUUUGGUGUUGGCAGCGGCCUAAGUUCCUUGGAACAGGGCGUCAUAGAGGGUGAGAACCCCGUACGUGGCCGCCCGCCUUCACCGUGUAAAGCCCCUUCGACGAGUCGAGUUGUUUGGGAAUGCAGCUCUAAAUGGGAGGUAAAUUCCUUCUUAAAGCUAAAUACUGGCCAGAGACCGAUAGCGCACAAGUAGAGUGAUCGAAAGAUGAAAAGCACUUUGGAAAGAGAGUCAAACAGCACGUGAAAUUGUUGAAAGGGAAGCGCUUGCAGCCAGACUUGCCCGCGGUCGUUCUUCUUCCGCGGGCAGGCCAGCAUCAGUCUGGGCGGUCGGAUAAAGGCCUCGGGAAUGUAGCUCUCUUCGGGGAGUGUUAUAGCCCGGGGCGCCAUGCGGCCAGCUCGGACUGAGGUCCGCGCAUCUGCUAGGAUGCUGGCGUAAUGGCUGUAAGCGGCCCGUCUUGAAACACGGACCAAGGAGUCUAACAUCUAUGCGAGUGUUUGGGUGUCAAGCCCGGGCGCGCAAUGAAAGUGAACGGAGGUGGGAACCCCUCGGGGCGCACCAUCGACCGAUCCUGAUGUCUUCGGAUGGAUUUGAGUAAGAGCAUAGCUGUUGGGACCCGAAAGAUGGUGAACUAUGCCUGAAUAGGGUGAAGCCAGAGGAAACUCUGGUGAGGCUCGCAGCGGUUCUGACGUGCAAAUCGAUCGUCAAAUUUGGGCAUAGGGGCGAAAGACC